AGAGCCUCUUCUCAUCCGGUUUUUUUCUCUGUUGUCAGGCCUCGCCGACCCAGCCCCUCAUGUUCCUCCCAAAGAGUCAGCUGGGAACAGCCAGUGGCACCUGCUCCAGGUAGGGGCACAGGAUCAGUGACAGCACUACUGUGCCAAGGACCUCUACUUUCCAGCAUCAUGUCUCCUGGGCUGCAGUUAGCUGUCCUUCCCCUCCAGAGCGUGCCAGCUGCAGCGGGAAACAAUGAGUGCCUCCGGGGCUGUCUUGCGUGCAGUCCUUGGAGGGCUGCGCCCUGUUCCAGCGGCAGGCCCUCCCCACCCACCCUCGGCUCACCACCCUUUCUGUUGCUCAUAGAGGGAACAGUCCGACUUGGACUUCUUCAGCCCCAGGCUGGGGACCGCUGCCUGUGGCGCCUCCAACGCUCCUCUGCUCCAGCCCUCAGCACCCUCCUCAAGCAGCUCCCAAGCUCCACUGCCGCCUCCCUUCCCAGCUCCUGUGGUCCCAGCCAGUGUUCCUGCCCCCAGUGCAGGCUCCUUCUUGUUUUCUACUGGAGUGGCCCCAGCCUUGGCCCCAAAAGUUGAGCCCGCAGUUCCUGGGCACCAUGGCUUGGCGUUGGGCGACAGCGCGCUGCACCACCUGGAUGCCCUUGAUCAGCUUCUAGAAGAGGCCAAAGUGUAAUGAGUGGGAGGAGAUGUGGGGUUGCUGAGGGUUGGGCCUGAAUGUGUCAGAACCAGAGCUAACUUUGAAGGGGUGGGGGUGCCUUGUCAGUCAGGCUGGAAGGCAAGGGGUGGGCCUGGGUAAGAGCAUGGCCAAGGGGCCUUGGGUGAGAGUCCUGCAGCUCUGGCUGGCUCUCUGAUGUGCUUUCCAUCCUUCCCACCUCCCAGGACCUCGGGCUUGGCGAAACCCGCUACCUCCCCUCUCAUCCCCACCACCACCCCAGCCAGGCCUCUCCUUCCCUUCUCCACGGGGCCCGGCAGCCCGCUCUUCCAGCCACUGAGUUUCCAGUCCCAGGGCAGCCCCCUGAAGGGGCCUGAGCUCUCCCUGGCCAGCAUCCACGUGCCCCUGGAAUCGAUCAAGCCUAGUAGGUGUUGGAGGAUUGAGGUGGGUGGGGUGGUGGGGCCUACAACCACGGACCUGUAGGACAUGCGACACGGAUGGAUCCAGGUACUCUUUGCAGGGGGUCCCUUAAAACCAGGCAGGCCUCCCUGCCUGCAUUCUGGGUCUUAAGCUCCUCACUGAGCGCCCCUCCCAGAUUCCGUUAGGAAGCAUUGGACUCAUCGUGACCGCGGAGUAGCCCUUUUCUCCUCACCGCUGGGGCUCUGUUGGGUGUCUCUGGUGCUGCUCCUCCCACACUCACAUGUCAUGUUCUUACAGGCAGUGCCCUUCCUGUGACAGCCUACGAUAAAAACGGCUUCCGCAUCCUCUUCCACUUUGCCAAGGAGUGUCCCCCAGGACGACCUGACGUGCUGGUGGUGGUGGUGUCCAUGCUGAACACGGCUCCCUUACCUGUCAAGAGCAUCGUGCUGCAGGCUGCAGUGCCCAAGUCAAUGAAAGUGAAGUUGCAGCCACCUUCUGGGACAGAACUCUCUCCAUUUAGCCCCAUCCAGCCACCUGCAGCCAUCACCCAGGUCAUGUUGCUGGCCAAUCCACUGAAGGAGAAGGUGCGGCUUCGGUAUAAGCUGACCUUCGCCCUGGGGGAGCAGCUGAGCACAGAGGUGGGCGAGGUGGACCAGUUCCCUCCUGUGGAGCAGUGGGGGAACCUAUGACCCCAGAGGACGCUGUGAUCUCCACCUUGAAGCCAGGCAGGCUGCCCUGAGACGAGGAGGGCUCUGGUCCCGUCACUCUCCAUGCCCUGACAACAGUGCUUGUAGCUUUGAUGUGGAACAGGGGCCCUGGGCAUUUCUGCUGAGAACCAAACUGCUGCUGUGAUAACCUCUCCUUUGGCCCCUAAAAGGACCUGUUUUUAUCUUCCUGUGUGAGUUGAAGUGGCCAUAUGCUGUCAGGGGUGGGGAGUGGCCCCUGACUUCACUGCUGUCCCGGGAACACGGACCCCCAGGCUUGGCGUAGGUGUUUGCUUCCUUCUACUGGCAUUCACUGAAGCCACCGGGGUGGGGGUGGGAGUCUCUAAAGAGAGACUGUCAUGGGUCAUUCCCCACAAGAGCCACAUCCUCACACCUGACAGAUGCACGGCCCAAGGGGCUGCAGCCCUGUUGCAAUUCCAUGCUUCCCCCGCCAGCCAGCUCCUGCUGCCAUCCCCAGGGAGGUGGCCCAGAAUAAAGAACUGGCAUACUGCAAAGUCCCCAGCCCUGCCUCUGGUGGACAGCAUCGUCCUGGAAUGGCCACGGAGUGAUGAGCUGUGUGCUUGUCUCUGGCAGUGGCAGGCUGUGUCCUAUGGACAUCUUGGCAGGACAUGGAAUUUGGCCUCAUGACAGGCCCAACUAGGCAUAGGAAGGAAAACGAAGAGAGCCAGUAUUUCCCCUUCUCCAGAAGCAGGUACUCAGCUUUCUGGGAAAAGCGUGCCUCCAGCCAUGGGGACCGGCCAUCCUACUGACUACCUCUUGCUUGGCAUGAAAUAAACUGCUAUCCUCCCCUUGGAAUCUACCGCCACUCUACAUCCUACUGCUUUGGCCUCCCUCUCCUCUCACCAGAUGGCAUGUGGUGUUGCACUUGUGGCUGGACACAGGAGGCCUCAGGAUCACAAAUGUUGCACUAGACAUAUAUCCUAAUGUGCUGCCCAGAAACCUCAACUGUUCCCCAGCUCCUGAGGGGCACUGUCAGCGAGAUGCUGGGUCUGGAGGUGAUGAGAUCAGGGGCCACACUUGAGCCGAGUCACCAGACCCUAUUGCUUCAACAGUGCUUGGCCCCAGCCAGCUUGUCCCGGCCACUCUAGCUGCUGGAUGUGAUCCUGGGACAUGGACUCCAAGCCUCCCUCACAAAAAAAAAAAGAAACAAUCACCAGCUGCCAUAGACACGGGGGAAGCUUGUGGAGCUCAGGUGAACAAGCUCAGCAAUCAGACAUCUCUGGGGAAAGGAAGGUGGCACAGACCACGUUCCCUGGUUCCUCCCUGCCCCUUGCCAGGCUUCCUUAUUCCUUACUAUGGAAGAGGUCAUAUCCCUUCCCUGCCCCUCGCUGUCUUUAGCAAGCAGGUUUCACUGCUUCAUUAGAAGAGGACAGGUCAAAAGUGAAUCAUUUUUCACUACUUAAGGAAUAAAUCCAAGAGCUUUCCAGAGACUGGCUGCUGCAGCCCUGGGAAUGUCUGUGGAAUUACCAUGUGGAAAUGGAACUUUCUGUUACGCUCUAGACAUUACAAUUACUUGAGUGUUACUCGUUACUACUGAGGUCAAUGCUUCGUGGCAAAUGGCUGUACUGGAUGUACCAACUCUGCUGCCCUUGUUUUGCUGCAUGUUAAAUAAAACCAUUUUCACUGU
rnacentral:sRNA from 1 species